AGGUUGUAGUGCAGCGAGUUGAGCUCUUCUUGCCUAAGUGGUCGCGCCCCCUUUAAGAGCAGCGAUUGUAAGGAGAGGCAGUCCCGGUGUCCUCGGGUCCCAGGUGAUUGUGAAGUGCUGACCAAUUGCCACUGGACAUACUUGAAACAAAAUAGGAAAAUGGCAGCAAACUCUUCAGGACAAGACAAGGUCUCGCUGUGUUGCCCAGGCUGAUCUUGAACUCCUGGCCUCAGGUUUUCAAAACAAAAAUAGAGUUGCAAUCUUGGCAGAACUGGACAAAGAGAAAAGAAAACUACUUAUGCAGAACCAGUCUUCAACAAAUCAUCCUGGAGCUAGCAUUGCACUCUCGAGACCCUCUCUUAAUAAGGACUUCCGGGAUCACGCUGAGCAGCAGCAUAUUGCAGCCCAACAGAAGGCAGCUUUGCAGCAUGCUCAUGCACAUUCAUCUGGAUACUUCAUCACUCAAGACUCUGCAUUUGGGAACCUUAUUCUUCCUGUUUUACCUCGCCUUGACCCAGAAUGAAGAAAACAUUUGCGAUGGAAAAGUGACUUUGUAAUAUCAGAUGCCAAAGCUACUAUCAUUCAGUGCUACAUGAACUGUGACUUUAAGAAUUUUGAUGAACUUUGAUAUUUUUGUUUGUCUGAAAGAAAGGAAUGUGUAAGUGAAAGCUGAAAGAAGAAUAACCAGGAUGAUGAGAGCUGUGGAAGCUGUAUCGUCCAAGAAAUUGAUUAUGUACCGUGACUGUAACUUUUUUGUAAUGCUGUUUAACUCUCAAUCAGACUCUGAACUGGAUGGUCACGAAGUCAUUCCCCAACUCCUAGCAAGUUUGACUGAAUAUAUCAUGUCCACAGUAGAUUUUCAAGAAUCAUUUAUAGUACUUAACUUUAAAGAAACAAGGCUGCUUUUAAAAAAUGAACUAAUAGGCUUAAAUCAAUUGCAUCCAUAUUUGCUGUUUAUAGGAU
rnacentral:sRNA from 1 species